rnacentral:rRNA from 1 species
UGGGGAAUAUUGCACAAUGGGCGCAAGCCUGAUGCAGCCAUGCCGCGUGUGUGAAGAAGGCCUUCGGGUUGUAAAGCACUUUCAGCGAGGAGGAAGGUGGUGAGCUUAAUACGCUCAUCAAUUGACGUUACUCGCAGAAGAAGCACCGGCUAACUCCGUGCCAGCAGCCGCGGUAAUACGGAGGGUGCAAGCGUUAAUCGGAAUUACUGGGCGUAAAGCGCACGCAGGCGGUUUGUUAAGUCAGAUGUGAAAUCCCCGGGCUCAACCUGGGAACUGCAUUUGAAACUGGCAAGCUAGAGUCUCGUAGAGGGGGGUAGAAUUCCAGGUGUAGCGGUGAAAUGCGUAGAGAUCUGGAGGAAUACCGGUGGCGAAGGCGGCCCCCCUGGACGAAGACUGACGCUCAGGUGCGAAAGCGUGGGGCAGCAAACAGGAUUAGAUACCCUGGUAGUCCACGCUGUAAACGAUGUCGAUUUGGAGGUUGUGCCCUUGAGGCGUGGCUUCCGGAGCUAACGCGUUAAAGUCGACCG